GGGCGCACUGUCUUCGGCGUGCACUCAUCUUUCUCCCGCCCAUGGCCCGCGUCACUCGCAGGAGUGAACAUCGCCAACUGGGCUGCCCUUGGCGGACGUUGCCUGACCUACUCUCGGCGCAACGGACCCGUACAAAUGCGACGGCCUUCGCCGGGGCGGCAAUCCCCCACGAACGCCCCGACAGUGUUGAGGAGAAGGCCUGGAUG
rnacentral:ncRNA from 1 species